rnacentral:rRNA from 1 species
GAUGAACGCUGGCGGCGUGCCUAAUACAUGCAAGUCGAACGCUGGAGAUCUAGCUUGCUAGAUCGAAGGAGUGGCGAACGGGUGAGUAAUACAUAAGCAACCUACCCACGAAGACUGGGAUAAUCUCUGGAAACGGGGACUAAUACCGGAUAGGUAAUCGGAAGGCAUCUUCUGGUUAUUAAAGGUUAAAAACACUGGUGGAUGGGCUUAUGGCGCAUUAGUUAGUUGGUGAGGUAACGGCCCACCAAGACGAUGAUGCGUAGCCGGCCUGAGAGGGUGAACGGCCACAUUGGGACUGAGACACGGCCCAGACUCCUACGGGAGGCAGCAGUAGGGAAUUUUCGGCAAUGGGGGCAACCCUGACCGAGCAACGCCGCGUGAGUGAAGACGGCCUUCGGGUUGUAAAGCUCUGUUGUAAGGGAAGAACGAUAGAUAGAGAAUAUCUAAGUGACGGUACCUUACCAGAAAGCCACGGCUAACUACGUGCCAGCAGCCGCGGUAAUACGUAGGUGGCGAGCGUUAUCCGGAAUUAUUGGGCGUAAAGGGUGCGUAGGCGGCCUGUUAAGUAAGUGGUUAAAUUGUUGGGCUCAACCCAAUCCCGCCACUUAAACUGGCAGGCUAGAGUAUUGGAGAGGCAAGUGGAAUUCCAUGUGUAGCGGUGAAAUGCGUAGAUGUAUGGAGGAACACCAGUGCCGAAUGCUGCUUGCUAGCCAAAUACUGACGCUCAGGCUCGAAAUCGUUGGGGAGCAGAUAGGAUUAUAUACCCUUGUAGUCCAGUGUCGAAUUCCACAAUGUAUAUCAAGCUUAUCGAUACCGUCGACCUCGAGGUGGUGCCGGGUCCCAGCUAUUGUUCUCUAUUAUAUGGUUAAAUUAAUUGUUGUUGUGUGAUAUGGAUGUGUAUAAUUUUGUUAUAUGUGUUGUGAUGUAUGAGUUGUUGUCGGUUUGCUGUUGUGUGUGGUGGUGUUGGUGUGUGUUUGAUUAGUGUGAUGGUUGUGUGUAGUGUGUCUGGUA